GUCGAACGAAGCACCUGAGAAUGAUUCUUCGGAUGAAGUCUCUUGUGACUGAGUGGCGGACGGGUGAGUAACGCGUGGGUAACCUGCCUCACACAGGGGGAUAACAGUUGGAAACGACCGCUAAUACCGCAUAACCCGCUGGUGCCGCAUGGCACUGACGGAAAAGAUUUAUCGGUGUGAGAUGGACCCGCGUCUGAUUAGCCAGUUGGCAGGGUAACGGCCUACCAAAGCGACGAUCAGUAGCCGGCCUGAGAGGGUGAACGGCCACAUUGGGACUGAGACACGGCCCAGACUCCUGCGGGAGGCAGCAGUGGGGAAUAUUGCACAAUGGGGGAAACCCUGAUGCAGCGACGCCGCAUAAGUGAAGAAGUAUUUCCCCACCUAAAGCUCUAUCAGCAGGGAAGAAAAUGACAAAACCUGAUUAAGAAGCCCCGGCUAACUACGUGCCAGCAGCCGCGGUAAUACGUAGGGGGCAAGCGUUAUCCGGAUUUACUGGGUGUAAAGGGAGCGUAGACGGUGACGCAAGUCAGAAGUGAAAGCCCGGGGCUCAACUCCGGGACUGCUUUUGAAACUGUGUGACUGGAGUGCAGGAGAGGUAAGCGGAAUUCCUGGUGUAGCGGUGAAAUGCGUA
rnacentral:rRNA from 1 species